rfam:Schistosoma haematobium scaffold462_5, whole genome shotgun sequence.
AUUCAGCUGACGUGUCCCAAAUAGGACGAAACGCGCUUUAAACUGGGU